GACGAACGCUGGCGGCGUGCCUAACACAUGCAAGUCGAGCGAUGAAAUCCCUUCGGGGAUGGAUUAGCGGCGGACGGGUGAGUAACACGUGGGUAACCUGCCUCAACGUGGGGGAUAGCCUUCCGAAAGGAAGAUUAAUACCGCAUAAUAUUAGAUUUUCGCAUGAAGAACUAAUUAAAGGAGCAAUCCGCUUUGAGAUGGACCCGCGGCGCAUUAGCUAGUUGGUGAGGUAAUAGCUCACCAAGGCGACGAUGCGUAGCCGACCUGAGAGGGGGAUGGGCCACAUUGGAACUGAGACACGGUCCAGACUCCUACGGGAGGCAGCAGUGGGGAAUAUUGCACAAUGGGGGAAACCCUGAUGCAGCAACGCCGCGUGAGUGAUGGAGGUCUUCGGAUUGUAAAGCUCUGUCUUUUGGGACGAUAAUGACGGUACCAAAGGAGGAAGCCACGGCUAACUACGUGCCAGCAGCCGCAGUAAAAC
rnacentral:rRNA from 1 species